rnacentral:rRNA from 1 species
CGUAGGCGGACUUUCAAGUCGGAUGUGAAAUCUCCGGGCUCAACUCGGAGCCUGCAUCCGAUACUGUUGGUCUUGAGUAUAUCAGAGGAAAGCGGAAUUCCAGGUGUAGCGGUGAAAUGCGUAGAUAUCUGGAAGAACACCAGUAGCGAAGGCGGCUUUCUGGGGUAAUACUGACGCUGAAGCGCGAAGGCUAGGGGAGCAAACA